UACAUGGAUAACUGUGGUAAUUCUAGAGCUAAUACAUGCUUGGUAGCAGAUAUUAGACAAAACCAAUUUUGUGACUCUGAGUAUCUCACGGUCUCGUACCGGCGACGCACCUUUCAAGUGUCUGCCUUAUCAACUUUCGAUGGUAGUUUAUGUGACUACCAUGGUUGUAACGGGUAACGGAGAAUAAGGGUUCGACUCCGGAGAGGGAGCCUGAGAAACGGCUACCACAUCCAAGGAAGGCAGCAGGCGCGCAAAUUACCCACUCUCAGUGAGGAGGUAGUGACGAAAAAUAACGAGUCGGUUCUCUUGAUAUCGGAAUGGGUACAAUCUAAACCCUUUAACGAGGACCUAUGAGAGGGCAAGUCUGGUGCCAGCAGCCGCGGUAAUUCCAGCUCUCAAGGUGUAUAUCGCCAUUGCUGCGGUUAAAAAGCUCGUAGUUGGAUCUGCUGUGGAGGCGGUGCGCCCAAGUGGUGUCCUGCCGGUUUCGUGCGGUGCUCUUCACUGGGUGCCGUGCGUGGCUGGCGAGUUUACUUUGAAGAAAUUAGAGUGCUCAAAACAGGCGUCUCGCCUGAAUAGUUGUGCAUGGAAUAAUAGAACAGGAGGUCCGUUUUGUUGGUUUCGGAACUGAGAUAAUGGUUAAGAGGGACUGCUGGGGGCAUUCGUAUCGCUGCGUGAGAGGUGAAAUUCUUGGA
rnacentral:rRNA from 1 species